AUGAAGAACGUAGCGAAAUGCGAUACUUGGUGUGAAUUGCAGAAUCCCGUGAACCAUCGAGUCCUUGAACGCAAGUUGCGCCUCAAGCCAUUAGGUUGAGGGCACGUCUGCCUGGGCGUCACAUAUCGUUGCCUGAUGCCAGUUUCCUCGUGAUGGGUGACUGUGCAGGGCGAAUGAUGGCUUCCCGUGAGCAUUGUUGCCUCAUGGUUGGUUGAAAAUUGAGUCCUUGGUAGGGAGCGCCGUGAUAGAUGGUGGUUGAGUGACGAACGAGACCCAAUCAUGUGAGACCCCUACCGAAUUUGGCCUUCAUGACCCACAUGCGUCUUUGGAACGCUCAUGACGAGACCUCAGGUCAGGCGGGGCUACCCGCUGAGUUUAAGCAUAUCAAUAAGCGGAGGA
rnacentral:misc_RNA from 1 species